UACGGGGGGGGCAAGCGUUGUUCGGAAUUACUGGGCGUAAAGGGCUCGUAGGCGGCCAACUAAGUCAGACGUGAAAUCCCUCGGCUUAACCGGGGAACUGCGUCCGAUACUGGAUGGCUUGAGUUUGGGAGAGGGAUGCGGAAUUCCAGGUGUAGCGGUGAAAUGCGUAGAUAUCUGGAGGAACACCGGGUGGCGAAGGCGGCAUCCUGGACCAACACUGACGCUGAGGAGCGAAAGCCAGGGGAGCAAACGGG
rnacentral:rRNA from 1 species